UCGAGGAUCUUCGGCAAUGGGCGAAAGCCUGACCGAGCGACGCCGCGUGAGCGAUGAAGGCCUUCGGGUUGUAAAGCUCGAAAGUGGGGAGAAAAGGCAACUUGAUCUAUCCACAGUAAGCACGGGCUAAGUUCGUGCCAGCAGCCGCGGUAAGACGAACCGUGCGAACGUUAUUCGGAAUCACUGGGCUUAAAGGGCGCGUAGGCGGGUUGUCAAGUCUGUGGUGAAAUCCUCUCGCUCAACGAGAGAACUGCCCUGGAUACUGACAAUCUUGAGGAAGAUAGGGGUGUGUGGAACGGGUGGUGGAGCGGUGAAAUGCGUUGAUAUCAUCCGGAACUCCGGUGGCGAAGGCGACACACUAGGUCUUUUCUGACGCUGAGGCGCGAAAGCUAGGGGAGCA
rnacentral:rRNA from 1 species